rnacentral:lncRNA from 1 species
AACAACAUCAUCCAUUGCAUUAAAUAUAUAAAUUUAAUACAUGCGUGUUCUGUACAGUUUUAGACACCAAAAAUAUAACGUAAAUCAAAAUAAUAAAAUGAUGAGUCUUGAGUACGCUCCAUCAUCUCAAAAGCUGGCAUCGGUACCUGUCUACUGAUGACCUGAGAAUACAAGUUAUUUUGAAAGAGUUUAUCAGCAUUAAGCUGGUGAGUUCAUAAGUAUUUUAGUGUCAAUGUUCAUUGUCAAAAACGUUUGAACUUGUCCCAAUGUAUAAGUUUGUAAAAAUGUAAAUAAAUGUUUAAAAGUAUUUGCAAAAGUUUGAAUCUCUCAGAAAAUCCUAUAUUUUCUAUAAUAGUAACCUUCUACCAAGGCUUAACUGUUUUGUAAACUCGUCUGUUGUAAAAGUGUGUGAUUACCCAAGUAUAACUAUCAUUUGAUAAAAUAUAGUUUGUACAUUAAUGCUUAAGUGAGAUUAUCACCAAAAUAUGUAAUGGGUAAAUCAUUGUAGUACUGUAGUUUUGUAUAAUAAGAACUACUGUUGUACUAAUUACUACUACCUUAAACCGGAUUUAUAUUAAGGUAUAAUGUGAUAAUUGCACCAUACUAUCGACUGAUAACAACGACAUAAAGAACGGUCGUAAUAACGGAAUGACGUUUGGCACCCGCAGACCUGCAGGUCCGGCUGUAGCUAGCAGCAAGGUGUAGGAUAGUCAAUCCAGUAUAGAUCUAUACGCAAACUCAACGCUCUCCCUCCAAGAGAAUUCUGGCUACAACUCGGGCCAUGACAUUUAAGGCAUGCUCCGAUACAGUGGAUCACAUUUGUUAUCGUAUUCUUGCAUGUGUGAUGAAAUGUUUCUUGUUCUAGUAUAGUUGUAUAUGUUCUCGUAGUAUAGUUGUAUAUAUUCUCUUCCUAGUAUAGACUCAUGAAUGAACUGACUCAUUGAUCUAGCAGUUGUAAUAGUAUGAUUCUGUGUUACCCCGAUGGUAACUUGUUAACAGUGCGUUUAGUACAUAUGAUUAUGGAAGUACUUUUAUGUCUAUAUAUGUAUAUUUGAUAUAUAAUUAAUAUGGAAACGACCUUCGGAUGGUCACCCAAAAUCCUAUCAGACCACAUCCAAAUCGAGGAAAAGGAAACAAGGUGGAUAGCCUUCCUAAGCCCUUUAAACAUUAUUUAUACGUCUAUACAUAUAUGGGCAUGCAAUUUGUAAUAUAAAAGCAUAAAUAAGUAUUUAUAAGGCAUUUGAAACAUAAGUAUUAUUUUUAAAGAAAGAUUGACUUGAUGUCAAUCUAUAAAACCAUUUGAAGGUGUAGAUUUGAUUAAAACAGUUUAAGUAUAAGGAACAUUUGCUUAAAUCACAGUUGCAGUGUAAAUUCGAAAAGUAAAUGGGUUUGGAAAACAUUUAGAAGUAAAACAGUUUGAUAGAUAGUUUGAAUAGUGAUAAAACCACUGAUUUCCCUAGUUAUUAAUCACAUGUGAUUAGUACAAUCACAUGUGAUUGAAACAAUAACUAUAAGUAUUUAACUUGUAUUCCCCCCCUUUUGAAAGCAUAUAAAAGCAUUUAGAAUAUUUAACAGGUUGAUUAAGGGGUAUGAAACUCACUUGAUUGAUUGAAGAAAGCGAGAUGGAAAACCGGGCAGAGUUUCGUCUCGGAAAACGGAUUUUUCUCGGGAUUCUCGGGAAUCUCGGGAGUAAAAUCGACCCUCGGGACUUGAGCAAAAAGACCAGAGCUUCGGGUUAUAACGGGCACGGAAAACGAGACAAAGUUGUGAGAGAGAGGAGAGAAAUGAGCAACAUUUUCGGAAAGCCUCGCAUCCUAUUUAUAGGAAGCCUGAACCGCCUCCGAACGCGGGGCGUACGCUCGUACGCAGCGCGUACGCGUACGUCAUGCAUGACCGAAGCCUCGACUGCCUCGGUUCGGAUGGGACGGGUUGCUGGGUACGCGGGUCGGAUGGGACGGCGGGUCGGAUGGGACAGCGGGUCGGACGGGUCGGAGCUUCGGACGGGUCGGACGGGUUAGAACUCUUCGGAUAGUGCGACGUGGACGAUCCGAGACCCUCGAUCUCAGUACGCGGGGCGUACGAAGGUACGCAGGGCGUACUUCGGUCCAAUCCGAUGACUCCCCUUCGGAUAUUACCGGGAAUUUAUAAUUAAAUUUAUAUUUAUUAUAAAUAAACUUCAAAAAUUCAUAUCUCCCUCAUACGAACUCCGUUUUUGACGUUCUUUAUAUCCUCGCGAAGGUGAGACCAUGAUCUACGACUUUCGUUUAGAUUCCGUUGGCUAAUUCCGAAAUUAUUUUUAUUAUUUAUUUAUUAAAAUGACGUGAUUAAGGAAUUUCUUCAAAAUUUCAUAACUUCCUCAUCCGGAGUCAGAUUUGGACGUUCUUUUUAUGUACGCAAACCUUGAUAUGAUUCCUAUUACUUUAUUUAAUCCGAAUAAGAUUUUAGGAAGGUUACAUUUUGACCUAAAUUUGAUCGGUUUUACGUUACAUUGACUCGAAAUAUCGGGUUGUCACAUGUACCUUCAUUGAUAAAGCCCUAACUUGGUGGAACGGCCGAGUCAAAUCCUUGACCCUACCUGUAGCCAAUGCCAUGGGUUGGGAAGCCAUGAAAGAACUCCUCCUAGCUGAAUACUGCCCUCGGGGCGAAAUGCAGAAAUUAGAGCACGAGCUCUGGAACUUGAAGAUGAAACGUUCCGAUAUUGCUGCAUACACUUCUAGAUUCGAUGAUCUUGCACUCCUCUGCUUGGGAUUAGUUACCCCGGAAAGUAAGAAGAUAGAGAGGUUCAUUUGGGGGCUGACCCAGCCAACCAAGGGAAAUGUCUUAGCUAUACGGCCGGAUACAUAUGAUAGCGCCAAGAGUUUAGCCCAGGCCCUGAUUGACCAUAAUGACGAUCUUGUGGAAACCACCACCACUCCUGAACCGAACAAGAGGAGUGGUGGAAAAAGGAAGUUCUGGAAAAAGAAGAAGGGUCAAUCUUCCCAAGGAUCCUCAAAGAAACAGCAGACUUUAGCAGUCCAUGCUGCUACUACCCCAGUUGCUGCUGCUUCUGUUGUGGGAUCUACAACUUAAACUCCUACUAGCAGGUAUGUUUGUAACCUUCCCCUGUGUGACAAGUGCAAAUACCACCAGAACCCUAGCCCCUGCCGUGAACUGUCAUGCACCAACUGUGGUAAAAAGGGGCACACGAUACGAUUCUACAAAGCACCAGCCCAAUCUACAAAUCAAUCUUCUGGAGCAGGUGUUGGUCAAACCUGCUAUAAUUGUAGAGAGGUCGGGCACUUCAAAAGGAACUGCCCUAAGAAGGCGACAGUGGAUAACACUGGAAGAGUCCUAGCCAUAGGACGGGAGGAGGCAGUCGCCGAUCCCACCGUUGUUUCGGGUACGUUCCUUCUCGAAAACUCAUAUGCUAGUAUCCUUUUCGAUUCGGGUGCUGAAAGAAGCUUUGUUAGUCAUACGUUCAAACAUAAUCUUAAACCUAACCCCAAUCAUUAACCGAAACGUUUACCGUCGAGAUGGCUAACGGUGAGAAAGAAAGCGCUAACGAGGUGUUCGUAGGUUGUACCUUUACCCUGAAUGACCAUUCAUUUCCCAUCGAUCUUAUGCCAGUUUCCAUAAAGAGCUUUGAUGUCAUCAUUGGCAUGGAUUAGUUGAGUCCUAAUCAUGCUGAUAUCCUUUGCUUCGAAAAGGCCAUCCGUCCCAACCUUCCUUCGGGUCAGACUCUCAUAAUCUAUGGCGAUAAACUCAUCUCCAACCUCCGCAUCAUUUCCUGCAUCAAAGCUCAAAAACUCAUGCAUAAGGAGUGUCAUGCAUUCUUAGCUCAUGUAAUCAAUGAGAAACAGGAAGUUAAAGACCUCGCGAGCAUCCCCGAAUUCUGUAACUUUCCUGAUGUGUUUCCCAAAGAGCUUCCAGGAAUUCCUCCCGAACGUCAGGUCGAGUUCCGCAUUGACCUAAUUCCUGGAGCUACCCCCGUAGCGAAAUCUCCAUAUCGCUUAGCUCCAGCAGAAAUGCAGGAGUUAUCCAGUCAACUCAAUGAGUUGCUCAGUAAAGGAUUCAUUAGACCGAGUUCCUCACCCUGGGGAGCUCCGAUAUUGUUGGUAAAGAAGAAAGAUGGAUUGUUUUGGAUGUGUAUCGAUUAUCAUGAGCUGAACAAGUUGACCGUCAAAAACCGAUAUCCUCUUCCGCGAAUAGAUGACCUCUUCGAUCAACUCCAGGGAGGAAGCUACUUCUCCAAGAUAGACCUUCGGUCGGGGUACCAUCAGCUACGAGUUCAUGAGAGUGAUGUUUCCAAAACAACUUUCAGGACUUGGUAUGGACACUACGAGUUCGUAGUGAUGCGCUUCGGUCUAACCAACGCACCGACAGUGUUCAUGGACCUGAUGAACCGGGUGUGUCGUCCUUUUCUGGACAAGUUUGUCAUUGUGUUCAUUGAUGACAUACUUGUCUACUCCAGAAGCGAAGAAGAUCACAAACAUCACUUGAGACUAGUGUUGGAAACCCUUAGAUCCGAGAAGUUGUACGCGAAAUUUUCCAAGUGUGAAUUCUGGAUUCAGAAGGUAAUUUUCCUCGGUCACGUGGUAAGCAAGAAGGGGAUUCACGUGGAUCCUUCCAAGAUUAAAUCGAUAGAGAAUUGGUUGGCACCGAAGACACCCACAGAAAUCCGUCAAUUCUUGGGUCUCGCCGGCUAUUAUCGGAGAUUCAUCCAGAAUUUUUCGAGAAUCGCCAAACCCUUAACCACUCUAACACAGAAAGGUGUACCCUUUUGUUGGAGUGAAAAGCAAGAAGCAACGUUCCAGACAUUAAAGCAAGCUGUCACACCCCAAAUCCAAGAACGGCGGAAAUCAUUCUGGGGCGGAGGACGUCAUGUAUAGUAUCACAACACAGUAUAACAGUAAAUAAGUAAACAACAUCAUCCAUUGCAUUAAAUAUAUAAUUUUAAUACAAGUGUGUUCUGUACAGUUAUAGAUACCAAAAAGUAAAUCAAAAUAAUAAGAUGAGUCUUGGAUGCGCUCCAUGUUCUCAAAAGCUGGCCUCGGUACCUGUCUACUCUCGACCUGAGAAUACAAGUUAUUUUGAAAGAGUUUAUCAGCAUUAAGCUG